rnacentral:rRNA from 1 species
GGGUUGUGAGGUUAAGCGACUAAGCGUACACGGUGGAUGCCCUGGCAGUCAGAGGCGAUGAAGGACGUGCUAAUCUGCGAUAAGCGUCGGUAAGGUGAUAUGAACCGUUAUAACCGGCGAUUUCCGAAUGGGGAAACCCAGUGUGAUUCGUCACACUAUCAUUAACUGAAUCCAUAGGUUAAUGAGGCGAACCGGGGGAACUGAAACAUCUAAGUACCCCGAGGAAAAGAAAUCAACCGAGAUUCCCCCAGUAGCGGCGAGCGAACGGGGAGCAGCCCAGAGCCUGAAUCAGUGUGUGUGUUAGUGGAAGCGUCUGGAAAGGCGCGCGAUACAGGGUGACAGCCCCGUACACAAAAAUGCACAUACUGUGAGCUCGAUGAGUAGGGCGGGACACGUGGUAUCCUGUCUGAAUAUGGGGGGACCAUCCUCCAAGGCUAAAUACUCCUGACUGACCGAUAGUGAACCAGUACCGUGAGGGAAAGGCGAAAAGAACCCCGGCGAGGGGAGUGAAAAAGAACCUGAAACCGUGUACGUACAAGCAGUGGGAGCACGCUUAGGCGUGUGACUGCGUACCUUUUGUAUAAUGGGUCAGCGACUUAUAUUCUGUAGCAAGGUUAACCGAAUAGGGGAGCCGAAGGGAAACCGAGUCUUAACUGGGCGUUAAGUUGCAGGGUAUAGACCCGAAACCCGGUGAUCUAGCCAUGGGCAGGUUGAAGGUUGGGUAACACUAACUGGAGGACCGAACCGACUAAUGUUGAAAAAUUAGCGGAUGACUUGUGGCUGGGGGUGAAAGGCCAAUCAAACCGGGAGAUAGCUGGUUCUCCCCGAAAGCUAUUUAGGUAGCGCCUCGUGAAUUCAUCUCCGGGGGUAGAGCACUGUUUCGGCAAGGGGGUCAUCCCGACUUACCAACCCGAUGCAAACUGCGAAUACCGGAGAAUGUUAUCACGGGAGACACACGGCGGGUGCUAACGUCCGUCGUGAAGAGGGAAACAACCCAGACCGCCAGCUAAGGUCCCAAAGUCAUGGUUAAGUGGGAAACGAUGUGGGAAGGCCCAGACAGCCAGGAUGUUGGCUUAGAAGCAGCCAUCAUUUAAAGAAAGCGUAAUAGCUCACUGGUCGAGUCGGCCUGCGCGGAAGAUGUAACGGGGCUAAACCAUGCACCGAAGCUGCGGCAGCGACGCUGAUGCGUUGUUGGGUAGGGGAGCGUUCUGUAAGCCUGCGAAGGUGUGCUGUGAGGCAUGCUGGAGGUAUCAGAAGUGCGAAUGCUGACAUAAGUAACGAUAAAGCGGGUGAAAAGCCCGCUCGCCGGAAGACCAAGGGUUCCUGUCCAACGUUAAUCGGGGCAGGGUGAGUCGACCCCUAAGGCGAGGCCGAAAGGCGUAGUCGAUGGGAAACAGGUUAAUAUUCCUGUACUUGGUGUUACUGCGAAGGGGGGACGGAGAAGGCUAUGUUGGCCGGGCGACGGUUGUCCCGGUUUAAGCGUGUAGGCUGGUUUUCCAGGCAAAUCCGGAAAAUCAAGGCUGAGGCGUGAUGACGAGGCACUACGGUGCUGAAGCAACAAAUGCCCUGCUUCCAGGAAAAGCCUCUAAGCAUCAGGUAACAUCAAAUCGUACCCCAAACCGACACAGGUGGUCAGGUAGAGAAUACCAAGGCGCUUGAGAGAACUCGGGUGAAGGAACUAGGCAAAAUGGUGCCGUAACUUCGGGAGAAGGCACGCUGAUAUGUAGGUGAAGUCCCUCGCGGAUGGAGCUGAAAUCAGUCGAAGAUACCAGCUGGCUGCAACUGUUUAUUAAAAACACAGCACUGUGCAAACACGAAAGUGGACGUAUACGGUGUGACGCCUGCCCGGUGCCGGAAGGUUAAUUGAUGGGGUCAGCGCAAGCGAAGCUCUUGAUCGAAGCCCCGGUAAACGGCGGCCGUAACUAUAACGGUCCUAAGGUAGCGAAAUUCCUUGUCGGGUAAGUUCCGACCUGCACGAAUGGCGUAAUGAUGGCCAGGCUGUCUCCACCCGAGACUCAGUGAAAUUGAACUCGCUGUGAAGAUGCAGUGUACCCGCGGCAAGACGGAAAGACCCCGUGAACCUUUACUAUAGCUUGACACUGAACAUUGAGCCUUGAUGUGUAGGAUAGGUGGGAGGCUUUGAAGUGUGGACGCCAGUCUGCAUGGAGCCGACCUUGAAAUACCACCCUUUAAUGUUUGAUGUUCUAACGUUGACCCGUGAUCCGGGUUGCGGACAGUGUCUGGUGGGUAGUUUGACUGGGGCGGUCUCCUCCUAAAGAGUAACGGAGGAGCACGAAGGUUGGCUAAUCCUGGUCGGACAUCAGGAGGUUAGUGCAAUGGCAUAAGCCAGCUUGACUGCGAGCGUGACGGCGCGAGCAGGUGCGAAAGCAGGUCAUAGUGAUCCGGUGGUUCUGAAUGGAAGGGCCAUCGCUCAACGGAUAAAAGGUACUCCGGGGAUAACAGGCUGAUACCGCCCAAGAGUUCAUAUCGACGGCGGUGUUUGGCACCUCGAUGUCGGCUCAUCACAUCCUGGGGCUGAAGUAGGUCCCAAGGGUAUGGCUGUUCGCCAUUUAAAGUGGUACGCGAGCUGGGUUUAGAACGUCGUGAGACAGUUCGGUCCCUAUCUGCCGUGGGCGCUGGAGAAUUGAGGGGGGCUGCUCCUAGUACGAGAGGACCGGAGUGGACGCAUCACUGGUGUUCGGGUUGUCAUGCCAAUGGCACUGCCCGGUAGCUAAAUGCGGAAGAGAUAAGUGCUGAAAGCAUCUAAGCACGAAACUUGCCCCGAGAUGAGUUCUCCCUGACUCCUUGAGAGUCCUGAAGGAACGUUGAAGACGACGACGUUGAUAGGCCGGGUGUGUAAGCGCAGCGAUGCGUUGAGCUAACCGGUACUAAUGAACCGUGAGGCUUAACCUUACAACGCCGAAGCUGUU